rnacentral:rRNA from 1 species
UGGGGAAUAUUGCGCAAUGGGCGGAAGCCUGACGCGGCGACGCCGCGUGGGGGAUGACGGCCUUCGGGUUGUAAACCUCUUCGCCAGGGACGAAGAGCAAUUGACGGUACCUGGAGAAGAAGCACCGGCCAACUACGUGCCAGCAGCCGCGGUAACACGUAGGGUGCGAGCGUUGUCCGGAAUUAUUGGGCGUAAAGAGCUCGUAGGCGGUGUGUCGCGUCGGCCGUGAAAACUUGGGGCUUAACUCUGAGCGUGCGGUCGAUACGGGCAUCACUUGAGUUCGGCAGGGGAGACUGGAAUUCCUGGUGUAGCGGUGAAAUGCGCAGAUAUCAGGAGGAACACCGGUGGCGAAGGCGGGUCUCUGGGCCUGACCUGACGCUGAGGAGCGAAAGCGUGGGGAGCAAACAGGAUUAGAUACCC